UACGAGGGGGGCGAGCGUUGUUCGGAAUUAUUGGGCGUAAAGGGUGCGUAGGCGGUUUGAUAAGUCUGAUGUGAAAUCUAUGGGCUCAACCCAUAGCCUGCAUUAGAAACUGUCGGGCUUGAGUAUGGGAGAGGUGAGUGGAAUUUCCGGUGUAGCGGUGAAAUGCGUAGAUAUCGGAAGGAACACCUGUGGCGAAAGCGGCUCACUGGACCAUUACUGACGCUGAGAAGCGAAAGCACGGGGAGCGAACAGG
rnacentral:rRNA from 1 species